GCUUACGGCCACACCACCCUGAGCGCGCCCGAUCUCGUCUGAUCUCGGAAGCUAAGCAGGGUCGGGCCUGGUUAGUACUUGGAUGGGACCGCCUGGGAAUACCAGGUGCCGUAAGCU
rnacentral:rRNA from 1 species